rnacentral:rRNA from 1 species
AAUGGGAUGCGAAUCUCGAAAGCCUGUCUCAGUUCGGAUUGGAGGCUGAAACCCGCCUCCAUGAAGUUGGAUUCGCUAGUAAUCGCGCAUCAGCCAUGGCGCGGUGAAUACGUUCCCGGGCCUUGUACACACCGCCCGUCAAGCCAUGGGAGCCGGGGGUGCCUGAAGUUCGUGACCGCAAGGAGCGACCUAGGGCAAAACUGGUGACUGGGGCUAAGUCGUAACAAGGUAAC